rnacentral:rRNA from 1 species
CCUACGGGAGGCUGCAGUCGAGAAUCAUUCACAAUGGGGGAAACCCUGAUGGUGCGACGCCGCGUGGGGGAAUGAAGGUCUUCGGAUUGUAAACCCCUGUCAUGUGGGAGCAAAUUAAAAAGAUAGUACCACAAGAGGAAGAGACGGCUAACUCUGUGCCAGCAGCCGCGGUAAUACAGAGGUCUCAAGCGUUGUUCGGAAUCACGGGGCGUAAAGCGUGCGUAGGCUGUUUCGUAAGGCGUGUGUGAAAGGCGCGGGCCCAACCCGCGGACGGCACAUGAGACUGCGAGACUAGAGUAAUGGAGGGGGAACCGGAAUUCUCGGUGUAGCAGUGAAAUGCGUAGAUAUCGAGAGGAACACUCGUGGCGAAGGCGGGUUCCUGGACAUUAACUGACGCUGAGGCACGAAGGCCAGGGGAGCGAAAGGGAUUAGAUACCCCAGUAGUC